AUGAACGCUGGCGGCGUGCCUAAUACAUGCAAGUCGAGCGAACGGACGAGAAGCUUGCUUCUCUGAUGUUAGCGGCGGACGGGUGAGUAACACGUUGCUACCCUACCUAUAAUACUGGGAUAACUUCGGGAAACCGGCGCUCAUACCGGCUGCUAUUUUGCACCGCAUGGUUCAAAAGUGUAAGACGGUCUUGCUGUCACUUAUAGAUGGAUCCGCGCUGCAUUAGCUAGUUGGUAAGGUAACGGCUUACCAAGGCAACGAUGCAUAGCCGACCUGAGAGGGUGAUCGGCCACACUGGAACUGAGACACGGUCCAGACUCCUACGGGAGGCAGCAGUAGGGAAUAUUCCGCAAUGGGCGAAAGCCUGACGGAGCAACGCCGCGUGAGUGAUGAAGGUCUUCGGAUCGUAAAACUCUGUUAUUAGGGAAGAACAGAUGUGUAAGUAACUGUGCACAUCUUGACGGUACCUAAUCAGAAAGCCACGGCUAACUACGUG
rnacentral:rRNA from 1 species